rnacentral:rRNA from 1 species
UACGUAGGGGGCUAGCGUUGUUCGGAAUUACUGGGCGUAAAGCGCACGUAGGCGGAUAUUUAAGUCAGGGGUGAAAUCCCGGGGCUCAACCCCGGAACUGCCUUUGAUACUGGGUAUCUCGAGUCCGAGAGAGGUGAGUGGAAUUCCGAGUGUAGAGGUGAAAUUCGUAGAUAUUCGGAGGAACACCAGUGGCGAAGGCGGCUCACUGGCCCGGUACUGACGCUGAGGUGCGAAAGCGUGGGGAGCAAACAGG